UAGGUUGAAGCCAGUUGUUUAGGGUAUUUAGCUGUUAACUAAAAUUUCAUGGGUUAUGUCCCAUCAGCCUAG
rnacentral:tRNA from 1 species